CAGCCGCCACGGUAAUACGAAGGGGGCUAGCGUUGUUCGGAAUUACUGGGCGUAAAGGGCGCGUAGGCGGCCAUUCAAGUUAGAUGUGAAAGCCCUGGGCUCAACCUAGGAAUUGCAUUUGAUACUAUUUGGCUUGAGUUCGGGAGAGGUGAGUGGAAUUCCCAGUGUAGAGGUGAAAUUCGUAGAUAUUGGGAAGAACACCAGUGGCGAAGGCGGCUCACUGGACCGACACUGACGCUGAGGCGCGAAAGCGUGGGGAGCAAACAGGAUUAGAUACCCGUGUAGUCCCUGUCUCUUAUAU
rnacentral:rRNA from 1 species